rnacentral:rRNA from 1 species
CUUGACAUCCUAAUUGACCUAUUCUUUUAAUCGAGUAUUUUGCCUUCGGGUACAAUUGAGACAGGUGGUGCAUGGUUGUCGUCAGCUCGUGUCGUGAGAUGUUGGGUUAAGUCCCGCAACGAGCGCAACCCUUGUGUUUAGUUGCAAACAGGUCAAGCUGUGCACUCUAGACAGACUGCCGUGGACAACACGGAGGAAGGUGGGGAUGACGUCAAAUCAUCAUGCCCCUUAUGAUCUGGGCUACACACGUGCUACAAUGGCCGGUACAACGGGCAGCGAAGGAGCGAUCCGGAGCGAAUCCUAAAAAGCCGGUCCCAGUUCGGAUUGCAGGCUGAAACUCGCCUACAUGAAGUUGGAGUUGCUAGUAAUCGCGAAUCAGAAUGUCGCGGUGAAUGCGUUCCCGGGUCUU